UACGAAGGGGGCUAGCGUUGCUCGGAAUCACUGGGCGUAAAGCGCACGUAGGCGGAUUGCUAAGUCAGGGGUGAAAUCCUGGAGCUCAACUCCAGAACUGCCUUUGAUACUGGCGAUCUCGAGUCCGGGAGAGGUGAGUGGAACUGCGAGUGUAGAGGUGAAAAUUCGUAGAUAUUCGCAAGAACACCAGUGGCGAAGGCGGCUCACUGGCCCGGUACUGACGCUGAGGUGCGAAAGCGUGGGGGAGCAAACAGG
rnacentral:rRNA from 1 species